AUCCGGCUGACGAGUCCCGAACAGAAAGAAACGCUCGUCCUGGAU
rfam:Schistosoma mansoni, Puerto Rico, WGS project CABG01000000 data, contig: 0184